AGCAGUCUAAUUCUAUCAUUGUAGCAAUAUGGAUACUAAUAUAGGCUGGGUAUACAAGAGUAGGUACUAUUAUGUUGACACUUCAACAACUUUGGUAUUGAUAUGUGUAUGACGUAUGUGCAUAUGAGUCCAUCGUUGGGUAUACAAGGUGUAGAGAUGUUUUUGAUAUCAAGAAAGUGAAACCUCCAACUGGCAUUCCAAAAUCUAUGUUUAUGGCUACGCCAGAUGGUCCUUAUGCAUUACGCAGUGGUGCAGCGGCACUUUUGAAACCGAAUGAUUAUGUUGUUCGUUUUUACAUCCCAUGCUACACUUUUCCACAUGUUUUGUAAUCUUUAUGUGUAUAAGCUAAUUAUGUUUUAUAAAUUUGUUAUAACAGGUAUGCUUUUGAGAAGGAGAUUGAAGGUAUGCCUUCUACUUGCACAAUUGGUGAUCUCCCAUCAGGACACUUCACUGCUCUUUACGCACAGAGGUGAUGAAAGAUGUUGUUCGAACAAGCAAACGUUGUUUCAAAAGUUUCUAUGAUAAAUGUAACUUUUUUUGGCCCUUAGAUGGUAUAUGAGACCCCAUGAUCAAUAAAUCAGUCUAUGUAUGUGGUGUAACAAAUGUGCUAUAAGAUGAUUUUUUACCCAAUAAGACGGUACGGGAUACAAUAAACCGAAUACUGGAGUCAAAUAAUAGCAGUGCCGAAAAUGGUGGAAGUGCUUAUCAUGUUCAAGGAUCUUCUAAGUAUGUUUCUGAGAAGACAAGUGAGGUGUGAAGCUUGGCAUCUAAGGUGGGUCAGGCGACAGG